UUAAGCGACUAAGCGUACACGGUGGAUGCCCUGGCAGUCAGAGGCGAUGAAGGACGUGCUAAUCUGCGAAAAGCGCCGGCGAGGUGAUAUGAACCUUUGACCCGGCGAUGUCCGAAUGGGGAAACCCAGUGUGAUUCGUCACACUAUCGUUAACUGAAUACAUAGGUUAACGAGGCGAACCGGGGGAACUGAAACAUCUAAGUACCCCGAGGAAAAGAAAUCAACCGAGAUUCCCCCAGUAGCGGCGAGCGAACGGGGAGCAGCCCAGAGUCUGAAUCAGCUUGUGUGUUAGUGGAAGCGUCUGGAAAGUCGCACGGUACAGGGUGACAGUCCCGUACACGAAAAUGCACAGGUUGUGAACUCGAAGAGUAGGGCGGGACACGUGGUAUCCUGUCUGAAUAUGGGGGGACCAUCCUCCAAGGCUAAAUACUCCUGACUGACCGAUAGUGAACCAGUACCGUGAGGGAAAGGCGAAAAGAACCCCGGCGAGGGGAGUGAAAUAGAACCUGAAACCGUGUACGUACAAGCAGUGGGAGCACCUUCGUGGUGUGACUGCGUACCUUUUGUAUAAUGGGUCAGCGACUUAUAUUCUGUAGCAAGGUUAACCGUAUAGGGGAGCCGAAGGGAAACCGAGUCUUAACUGGGCGUUAAGUUGCAGGGUAUAGACCCGAAACCCGGUGAUCUAGCCAUGGGCAGGUUGAAGGUUGGGUAACACUAACUGGAGGACCGAACCGACUAAUGUUGAAAAAUUAGCGGAUGACUUGUGGCUGGGGGUGAAAGGCCAAUCAAACCGGGAGAUAGCUGGUUCUCCCCGAAAGCUAUUUAGGUAGCGCCUCGUGAACUCAUCUUCGGGGGUAGAGCACUGUUUCGGCUAGGGGGCCAUCCCGGCUUACCAACCCGAUGCAAACUACGAAUACCGAAGAAUGUUAUCACGGGAGACACACGGCGGGUGCUAACGUCCGUCGUGAAGAGGGAAACAACCCAGACCGCCAGCUAAGGUCCCAAAGUCAUGGUUAAGUGGGAAACGAUGUGGGAAGGCACAGACAGCCAGGAUGUUGGCUUAGAAGCAGCCAUCAUUUAAAGAAAGCGUAAUAGCUCACUGGUCGAGUCGGCCUGCGCGGAAGAUGUAACGGGGCUAAACCAUGCACCGAAGCUGCGGCAGCGACGCUUAUGCGUUGUUGGGUAGGGGAGCGUUCUGUAAGCCGUUGAAGGUGUGCUGUGAGGCAUGCUGGAGGUAUCAGAAGUGCGAAUGCUGACAUAAGUAACGAUAAAGCGGGUGAAAAGCCCGCUCGCCGGAAGACCAAGGGUUCCUGUCCAACGUUAAUCGGGGCAGGGUGAGUCGACCCCUAAGGCGAGGCCGAAAGGCGUAGUCGAUGGGAAACAGGUUAAUAUUCCUGUACUUGGUGUUACUGCGAAGGGGGGACGGAGAAGGCUAUGUUAGCCGGGCGACGGUUGUCCCGGUUUAAGCAUGUAGGCGGAGGUUCCAGGUAAAUCCGGUACCUUAUUAACGCUGAGGUGUGAUGACGAGGCACUACGGUGCUGAAGUAACAAAUGCCCUGCUUCCAGGAAAAGCCUCUAAGCAUCAGGUAACAUCAAAUCGUACCCCAAACCGACACAGGUGGUCAGGUAGAGAAUACCAAGGCGCUUGAGAGAACUCGGGUGAAGGAACUAGGCAAAAUGGUGCCGUAACUUCGGGAGAAGGCACGCUGAUAUGUAGGUGAAGCCCCUGCGGGUGGAGCUGAAAUCAGUCGAAGAUACCAGCUGGCUGCAACUGUUUAUUAAAAACACAGCACUGUGCAAACACGAAAGUGGACGUAUACGGUGUGACGCCUGCCCGGUGCCGGAAGGUUAAUUGAUGGGGUUAGCGGCAACGCGAAGCUCUUGAUCGAAGCCCCGGUAAACGGCGGCCGUAACUAUAACGGUCCUAAGGUAGCGAAAUUCCUUGUCGGGUAAGUUCCGACCUGCACGAAUGGCGUAAUGAUGGCCAGGCUGUCUCCACCCGAGACUCAGUGAAAUUGAACUCGCUGUGAAGAUGCAGUGUACCCGCGGCAAGACGGAAAGACCCCGUGAACCUUUACUAUAGCUUGACACUGAACACUGGUCCUUGAUGUGUAGGAUAGGUGGGAGGCUUUGAAGCGUGGACGCCAGUCUGCGUGGAGCCGUCCUUGAAAUACCACCCUUUAAUGGCUGGUGUUCUAACGUAGACCCGUAAUCCGGGUUGCGGACAGUGUCUGGUGGGUAGUUUGACUGGGGCGGUCUCCUCCCAAAGAGUAACGGAGGAGCACGAAGGUUAGCUAAUCCUGGUCGGACAUCAGGAGGUUAGUGCAAUGGCAUAAGCUAGCUUGACUGCGAGAGUGACGGCUCGAGCAGGUGCGAAAGCAGGUCAUAGUGAUCCGGUGGUUCUGAAUGGAAGGGCCAUCGCUCAACGGAUAAAAGGUACUCCGGGGAUAACAGGCUGAUACCGCCCAAGAGUUCAUAUCGACGGCGGUGUUUGGCACCUCGAUGUCGGCUCAUCACAUCCUGGGGCUGAAGUAGGUCCCAAGGGUAUGGCUGUUCGCCAUUUAAAGUGGUACGCGAGCUGGGUUUAGAACGUCGUGAGACAGUUCGGUCCCUAUCUGCCGUGGGCGCUGGAGAAUUGAGGGGGGCUGCUCCUAGUACGAGAGGACCGGAGUGGACGCAUCACUGGUGUUCGGGUUGUCAUGCCAAUGGCACUGCCCGGUAGCUAAAUGCGGAAAAGAUAAGUGCUGAAAGCAUCUAAGCACGAAACUUGCCCCGAGAUGAGUUCUCCCUGAGACUUUAAGUCUCCUGAAGGAACGUUGAAGACGACGACGUUGAUAGGUCGGGUGUGUAAGCGCAGCGAUGCGUUGAGCUAACCGAUACUAAUGAACCGUGAGGCUUAACCUU
rnacentral:rRNA from 2 species